AUUGAACGCUAGCGGGAUGCUUUACACAUGCAAGUCGAACGGCAGCGCGGACUUCGGUCUGGCGGCGAGUGGCGAACGGGUGAGUAAUGUAUCGGAACGUGCCCAGUAGCGGGGGAUAACUACGCGAAAGCGUAGCUAAUACCGCAUACGCCCUACGGGGGAAAGCAGGGGAUCGUAAGACCUUGCACUAUUGGAGCGGCCGAUAUCGGAUUAGCCAGUUGGUGAGGUAACGGCUCACCAAGGCGACGAUCCGUAGCUGGUUUGAGAGGACGACCAGCCACACGGGAACGGAGAAACGGCCCAGCCCCCUACGGGAGGCGGCAGUGGGGAAUUUUGGACAAUGGGGGAAACCCUGCUCCAGCAAUCCGGCUGGGUGGAGGAAGGCCUUCGGGUUUUAAAGCACUUUUGGCAGGAAAGAAGCGUCGCGGGCUAAUACCCCGUGGAACUGACGGUACCUGCAGAAUAAGCACCGGCUAACUACGUG
rnacentral:rRNA from 1 species